rfam:Medicago truncatula strain A17 chromosome 5, whole genome shotgun sequence.
AAGAAAUGUAGCAUGCCUGUUAUGAUUACUCUGAUUAUUGUUGUAUCAUUACUAUUUAAGUAAUUUUGGGAAACGGGGUGUUACAGAAAUUCU